rnacentral:rRNA from 1 species
AUUUGAACGCUGGCGGCAUGCCUUACACAUGCAAGUCGAACGGUAACGCGGGGCAACCUGGCGACGAGUGGCGAACGGGGUGAGUAAUAUAUCGGAACGUGCCCAGUCGUGGGGGAUAACUGCUCGAAAGAGCAGCUAAUACCGCAUACGACCUGAGGGUGAAAGCGGGGGAUCUUCGGACCUCGCGCGAUUGGAGCGGCCGAUAUCAGAUUAGGUAGUUGGUGGGAUAAAAGCUUACCAAGCCGACGAUCUGUAGCUGGUCUGAGAGGACGACCAGCCACACCUGGGACUGAGACAGGCCCAGACUCCUACGGGGGGCAGCAGUGGGGGAAUAUUGGACAAUGGGGGGCAACCCUGAUCCGAGCCCAUGGCCGCGUGUGUGAAGAAGGGCUUUC